UACAGCCACAUCAUGAUUAAGCACUGAUUCCCAUAACAUCAACAAAGUUAAGCAACAUCGAGCCUGGUCAGUACCUAAAUGAGUGACCACUUGGGAAUACUAGGUACUGUAAG